UACGGGAGUGGCAAGCGUUAUCCGGAAUUAUUGGGCGUAAAGCGUCCGCAGGCGGUCUUACAAGUCUGUCGUUAAAGCGUGGAGCUUAACUCCAUUUCAGCGAUGGAAACUGUAAGACUAGAGUGUGGUAGGGGCAGAGGGAAUUCCCGGUGUAGCGGUGAAAUGCGUAGAUAUCGGGAAGAACACCAGUGGCGAAGGCGCUCUGCUGGGCCAUAACUGACGCUCAUGGACGAAAGCCAGGGGAGCGAAAGGGAUUAGAUACCCCUGUAGUCCUGGCCGUAAACGAUGAACACUAGGUGUCGGGGGAAUCGACCCCCUCGGUGUCGUAGCCAACGCGUUAAGUGUUCCGCCUGGGGAGUACGCACGCAAGUGUGAAACUCAAAGGAAUUGACGGGGGCCCGCACAAGCGGUGGAGUAUGUGGUUUAAUUCGAUGCAACGCGAAGAACCUUACCAGGGUUUGACAUCCUGCGAAUCCCUUGGAAACGAGGGAGUGCCUUCGGGAACGCAGUGACAGGUGGUGCAUGGCUGUCGUCAGCUCGUGUCGUGAGAUGUUGGGUUAAGUCCCGCAACGAGCGCAACCCACGUCUUUAGUUGCCAGCAUUUAGUUGGGCACUCUAGAGAGACUGCCGGUGAUAAACCGGAGGAAGGUGUGGAUGACGUCAAGUCAUCAUGCCCCUUACAUCCUGGGCUACACACGUACUACAAUGCUACGGACAAAGGGCAGCAAACUCGCGAGAGCUAGCAAAUCCCAUAAACCGUGGCUCAGUUCAGAUCGUAGGCUGCAACUCGCCUACGUGAAGGAGGGAUCGCUAGUAAUCGCAGGUCAGCAUACUGCGGUGAAUACGUUCCCGGGCCU
rnacentral:rRNA from 1 species